rnacentral:lncRNA from 1 species
UCAGAAGGAAUAAUACUUAAUUAUCCAAUAAUAUAUAGUAUUUCUCAAGCAUAAGAACAAAAAUUAAUAAAAUCAGCAAACAAAUUAAAUACACAAAAAUUGUAUCUCACCACAAAAUGGAUAUAUAUACUUACUUCAUAUAUAAUUAAUUAAAGUGUUAUCAUUGAAAGGUCAUGCAAGCGAUGAGCCUCAUCGGAGGAUAGUAAAGAAGCCGGUGACCGCCUAGCGCCGGUGACCAUUUCGCAAAAUACCCGUAAAGCCCGCUCCCACCGGCUCCGGUUGCCGAGAUCUUCUUGCCUAACAUGGAAAGCUAUUUGGCCUAAUUGAAAGAAAAAUAACCUGGAAGCAUGCGAAAUAUCGUCGUAAACUUGAGGUAGAGAUCUCAAACUUAAGCAAAUUUUCAGCACAAAUGGACAUACCAAAGUAGUGACUAGUAAUGUAGUUAAGGAAUUAUUAGGGGUAGUGGCUCCUAUGAGCUUUAGCUUUACUAGAGCUAUCAAAUGCAACCCCAUGGCAAUGAAAAUGUUAUUAAAUGAAAGGCAAAAGGAAUAUAUAUAUAUAUAUAUAUA